rnacentral:rRNA from 1 species
AUUUAACGCUGGCGGCAGGCCUAACACAUGCAAGUCGAGCGGAGCGGCGGACGGGUGAGUAAUGCCUAGGAAUCUGCCUGGUAGUGGGGGAUACCGUCCGGAAACGGGCGCUAAUACCGCAUACUAUCAGAUGAUCCUACGUCGGAUUAGCUAGUUGGUGGGGUAAAGGCCUACCAAGGCGACGAUCCGUAACUGGUCUGAGAGGAUGAUCAGUCACAGUGGAACGAGGACACGGUCCAGACUACUACGGGAGGCGGCAGUGGGGAAUAUUGGAGAAUGGGCAAAAGCCUGAUCCAGACAUGCAGCGUGUGUGAAGAAGGUCUUCGGAUUGUAAAGCACUUUAAGUUGGGAGGCGUUACCAACAGAAUAAGCACCGGCUAACUUCGUGCAAGCAGCCGCGGUAAUUC